AGCUAUCGGAGAAAUUUGUAGGGUUAUGGCUUAUGGAUCGGUAUUACGAUCAUCCAACUUUAUAUUCAUUAGUAAAAUGUGUUCAUUUUCGUCGUCCUCCAGUUCUCGUGAUAGUGAUUUGGAAGUUUUAAUGCAAUUACCCGAUUGGGAUAGUGAAGUUGUUGGUGAUAUAUCAUCUGCAAUUGGUAUGUUUUUAUACACCAACAGAGUACAGAAAAUUGCUGGAUUUCCUAGAAUUAUUGCCAUUGAUUGCACUCAUUUACGAAUUCAAUCAUCAUCUUAAUAUCAUACAGGUCUACUGAGAAAUCACUGGAUGGUUGUUAAUAGUGCUUACUCAAAUAUACCAUAUUUAUUAACACCAUUUCUCUGGCUGACCAGAGAUAUGAUGAAGUACACAUUAAGAAUAGGAAUACUAUAGAGAGAAUAUUUGGAGUAUGGAAAUGUCGCUUGAAACAUUGUAUUUACCAGCUAAAGUUCAAGCUAUUAUUAUUGCCACAGCUGUUAUGCAAAAUAUUUGUAAGGAUUAUAAUUUGUAGAUAUACCAGCAAAGUUUUAAUUCCAACACUUGAUACACUUUCAAGUCAAGAAGUUAAUGAAGGAAAUCAAGACAUAACUGAAAGAACAAG